CCUACGGGUGGCAGCAGUGAGGAAUAUUGGUCAAUGGGCGGAAGCCUGAACCAGCCAAGUAGCGUGCAGGAUGAAGGCCCUACGGGUUGUAAACUGCUUUUAUACGGGAAUAACGCGCCUUACGUGUAGGGCUUUGCAUGUACCGUAUGAAUAAGGACCGGCUAAUUCCGUGCCAGCAGCCGCGGUAAUACGGAAGGUCCGGGCCUUAUCCGGAUUUAUUGGGUUUAAAGGGAGCGUAGGCCGGAUGUCAAGCGUGCUGUGAAAUGUCCGGGCUCAACCCGGGCCUUGCAGCGCAAACUGGCGUGCUUGAGUCCGCGAGAGGCAGGCGGAAUUCGUGGUGUAGCGGUGAAAUGCUUAGAUAUGACGAGGAACCCCGAUUGCGAAGGCAGCUUGCGGGAGCGGAACUGACGCUGAUGCUCGAAAGCGCGGGUAUCGAACAGGAUUAGAUACCCUGGUAGUC
rnacentral:rRNA from 1 species